GAUAGAUAUGCAUGUUUACAAUCGAAUUCCAUAUUUACUUAAUUUUCAUAAAAUUUUGAGUUACUGCAGUCUUGCACUGAGGGUGCGACAUGUCGACGGUCGAAAGGACUUGCGCCAUUGAGGGUAAGAAUGAUGCCACAUGCCAUGUGAUCAAGUGAAAAGUGAAGCCGCCUUCACCUCAUCAACCUACCAAAAUUUUGGCUCUCUGAUAUGGCGCCAAAAUAAUAUACUCACAAAAUUGAUAAUCAUGGCCAAGCUUUUUCGAUCAGAGUAAUUGUGACUAACCUUGAGCUUCUUAAAAACACUGACACUGACGCAAAAUCAGAAACUGUGAUCAUCAAAAUAUGUUUUAAUUUUAACAAGGAAUAGAGUCAACCACCGCAUGGCCUUCAAUUUACAAAGCUUUGCAAGUUUAUCAAAAAAACUGUUUACAUUUCCGGAAAUUUGAAAUUAAUCAAUAAAACACUCGAAACUUU